GAUCCUUCUUUCUAUAUUUUUGCUUUUCAACUAUCUAUAUAUUUUUUUUGUGUCCUUAUUUAAAUCCCCAUUCUUGAUUCCAGACUAACUCUCAUAUAUAUACGUAAAUAUACGAAAGCUUGGCACGUCGAAUACGGAAACCCGGAAAUCUUUUCACCGUUGUCGUUUUUAUACUAUGACGCAAAAUCCAUGGACGCUCGUCUGCUGCUGAAUUCAUGUUUUAAAAGAAUGGACAAAGAUAGUCAGAUAGUUGAUACAAAGACCUUUGAUUUUUCAAACUGAUGGAUCAAAAGUUAUUAUAAACAGAUAUAUUGAAAUGGCUUUUUCAACGAAAGUACAAUUACUUUGAGAAGUAGGAGAAGCUAAGCAACAGGACAGAAUUCAUUUGAGGCAUUGCUUUCUAGAUUAUAUAGUGGAGUCAUAGAUUGUCCUAUUGAUUUAUGUGGAUAUGAGGAGCAGUAGUCAAUGAAUAAUUUUGUGAUGAGAGAAUUAGCUCCUCAGAUGUAAGUGGAAGGGAAGCUAUAUACAUUAUAUGUUUAAAUGAAAUUAACAACAGGAUUACAUAUUGAGGAGAUCCUAUAGCUACAGUAUAUAUAAAUGUAACUGCAACUGUAUUCCAAGAGUCUGAUGGCUGAUAAUGUAUUACAGGAUUUUAUCAUUCAAGCAACAUCUUAGAAGGAUAAGUGCAAAUGUAUGAAGGAAGACUUGGGUACAAAUAGCAAUUACAGCAAUUACAUGCAGAAGAGAACUCUUAACAUUACUAACAGACAUGUAGUCAUUAUAUGGGAGUGGUGUAUUCAAGAAAUCUAAAACACAUGGAAUUAAAUAUCGUGUAUAUUUUUUCAACCACAAGUACUCUCAGAAUAUAAUACAAUUCAAAUUCAAAUUAUUGUGCCAACAUGACAAUUACAGUCUAAAAAUGGAAAAUGCAUGUUUUAAACUGAUUUUUAUAUAAAUAUUUGAAAUAACAAGAA